ACGACCUUACUUGAACAGGAUCUGUUCUAUAGGCUCGUACCUCUGUAUUCUUGAUUCCUAAGAAGACAGAAACCCAUGUCUGGUUGAUGAAUCAGGACCAUGUGACCAGAGCGUGAUUAACGGAGCUCAUGGUCUUUCUUAACCAUGGCUCGGUAGAAGAUCGUUGCCACAGCCCAUCUGAUGGGUCUUUGGCAUGGUCACAUGGUUGUCUGACAGACA
rnacentral:snoRNA from 1 species